CCAAGGAGUCUAGCGUGUGCGCAAGUCAUUGGGAUAACACUAAACCUAAAGGCGCAAUGAAAGUAAAAGUUCGUCUAGCGCGAACCGAGGGAAGACGGUCGGCUAAUAUAGUCGGCCCGCAUUCCCGGGGCGUCUCGUUCUCAUUGCGAGAAGAGGCGCACCAAGAGCGUACACGCUGGGACCCGAAAGAUGGUGAACUAUGCCUGGUCAGGACGAAGUCAGGGGAAACCCUGAUGGAGGUCCGUAGCGAUUCUGACGUGCAAAUCGAUCGUCGGAACUGGGUAUAGGGGCGAAAGACUAAUCGAACCAUC
rnacentral:rRNA from 1 species